CACACACGAAGAAUUCCAAAAUGGCUAGGGUCCAAGGUUUAGCUCUUCUUGGUUUAUUAGUGAUUUCAAGUUUGGUUAUGUUAACCGAGAGCCGAGUCGCAAGAAAAGACUUGGGGCUUGACCUAGGCGGGAUUGGGGUCGGUCUGGGCGUUGGAUUGGGGAUUGGUAUUGGCGGCGGUUCAGGCUCUGGUGCUGGUGCUGGUGCAGGUUCAGGAUCAGGUUCAUCAUCUAGUUCUAGCUCUAGCUCGUCAUCAAGUUCGAGUUCUAGUGGUUCGGGUCGAUCAGGAGCCGGAUCAUCUGCUGGUUCAUUUGCUGGAUCUAGAGCUGGAUCAGGAUCUGGUAACUAAAUAAUAAGUAACGAUGUAUUUCCUACUUAAAGUAUGAACCAAAAAGUGUGUGUUUAUGUUGUUGGUUUGUCGUGUGUAUAUACGAAGUUGGAUGAAUAAAAUGUCGUCAUAAGUUAUGUUUGUUUGAGUCUGUAUGUUUUUUUUUUGGGUGCAAUUUGAGUCUGUAUGUUCCAUACAAGUCUAAAUUGUUAUAUAAUCUCUUUAAAUUUGGAUCAGUGCAUGUGCAAUCGUAAUUAGGUAAUUCGAAUUUGGAACCAAAGAAAACAAGCUUCAAACGAUAUCAAUAAAUCAAAUCAUAUGAUCACAAAUUAUAGUUCUUUUACUUCAAAUGGUUAAACUCUUAAAUUUCAAAGAAUCAGUGCAGUGGUCUGUCACUUAUGAAAGAGUUUCGUAUUUUGUUAAUCCUAAAUCUCUAAAUUGAAUAUUACUGUAUAUUUAAUCGAGUUAGUCCACCUACCUUAUGAUAGUACAUAAUAUUAAAAAUAAACAUCAAAAGAUUGAUUUUUUUUUUUUUGCAAGAGGAAGUAAUAUACUAAUAAGAGAGAAUAUAAGGAUUUUAACUAAGAAGCAUUUUGAAGUCACUUUCUUCAAUGUCUAUUAAGCAAACCAAAGAUAAUAGAAAGUGUUAUGAUGCAGAAUAGUUAUGAUCCUAAAGGCAAAAGAUUAUAUACAUUGGAGCAAUCAAUGUCAGAGAAACUGUAAACGUGAAUGAAUCUAUAAUGUUACGAUGUUGUCAUCUGGAUCGUGUAGAUUAAUAAACGAAUCAGAUUCAAGAUAGGAGCAUUGAUGAAAAUCAAUGGCAUGAGACAGAGAAUAACAGAGGAUGGCCCCAUCAGUAAUCACUAGACCCCAGAUUAAAAGGCAAAUCCUUUGAUUGAGCUAACAUCGACAGAACAUAGAUCCAUAACCGAACAAACAAGCAAAGCCCAAAACACACAAUCGGUAAAAGCAGAUACUUUGCAAAUGAAACAAGAGGAUAGAGAGAGAGAGAAAGAGACAGACUUGGUGCUGGAGCUGAGAGCAGGGGAAGAAGAGGAAGCGAGGCAGAGGAACUUGGGAGAUCUGAGAGUAGAGAUUGGCGGACGAGCCGAGGAAGGGAGUUUGUAAGGCUGAGAUGCCAAAGGGUUAAGCUUCAAUGCCAUUUUCUUUUUUUUGAUACGAGGUUUGAUGUUCUUUCAGACACGAGCGAGCUCUCUCUAGGCUAAUGCUCUCUCUGGUCUCUUAAGGUUGAGUUUCGUCCACAGAAAGAGAAUAUGGUUAUGAGAAACAGCGGUGUGAGGGAAGAGUCUACACUCGGAGGAAAGAGAGAGAAGAAAAUAAAUAAUUAUUAACAAAAAAAAGGAAAAAUGACGUCAUCUAUGGUGUGAAAACAAGGUUAAAAAUUAAAUUUUGUAGAUUAUUUUCUAUUUUAAUCGAACAUCUAACCUAUACUAAAAGGAAGAUAUACUCAUCAUAUAAGCUGUCCACGUCAUUUUUAAAUUCAGCCAAUGAGGGGGUUCUCUUUCGACAUUUCACCAUCGCUUCUAACUUAAAGAGUGGAACUGGGCCUUCCGUGUAGGCUUUAAAAAAUUUAUAUGGCCCAGUUUAAAUAUAAUACACGUAAACCUCUGUGCAGUCGGGAGCGUAGAACUCUGUCUCUUCCGCUUCCUCUCCGCCGAUCUUUUCCUCUGUAAUCAAUGUUACCUCUACCCUUAAUUCAACAAUCAAUGAUGUUCUUUACUAACUCCUUUAUUUUUUCGCUCGACCUCCCGAUGAUUCUUCAUCCUCCAAAUCCCAACGUUUCAUGAUUCUAUCAACCACUUGCUAUAAAUUUAGGGCCAUACACACGAAACCUCGCUACCCAAUCCAAGUUCUCUGCAGUUCAUGUGGAGGUUAUGAAUGAAUAUAACUCCGUUAAGGCUUUUUGGGCCACAAUAUUAAUAACGGCCCCGUCUCUUCUUCGUAACCCAAAGAGAUAGUCACUCGGUGGAAGGUGUCCGAAUCUACACCCAACAUAUCUACUUCCAUCGUGGGUUAAGCUAAGGAGGCUUGGGAUCGAAUCCUCGGCGAAGAGACGAUAAGCUCGGAAAUGACAUAGAUGAGGACCAGGGGCGGAGGCAGAUAUUUUUUUUGUUGGGGGCAUGAGUAAAAUUAGUUGAUGGAUUAGAAGUAUAUUUGAUCAAAACAAUGGGGGCAUAUUGAAUUUAUUGAGAGAUUUACAUGGAAUUUUAAAAAGUUAUUGGGGGCAAAUGCCCCCCUCUCACACAAUGUGGCUCCGCCACUGCUGGGGACUAUAGAUUAGUGACCAUUAAUAUAUAUGGGGGAUUAGUUUCUGCGUGUAUAAACCAUUACCACUCCACUAAGCUCAGUGGACCGUCGACUCUCUGGUGGGUUGGUGGCAGCAAACGAUAAUGCACACAUCACAUGCAUCCGUACUUAAAUUAUGUGCACUAAUUAACCAUUUCUAUUUAAUUUAUCGUUUCGUUGGGACUAAAUUUUGGUAAUAAUAACCUCGCUAUGCAUUUUGGAUGAUCAUGAUAUGGACUUGUGACUGAAACUGUGAAUAGUAACGAUGAUGUGAGACCACAACAAUCUUUGGUUCUUUGACGUCUUAUACCCCCACGGGUGAAAAACCUCACGAAUUAACUCGGGUUACGUUCGUUUCUUUUUAUAUAAUUUCAAAUCAUUUUGCAUGUAUUGCCGAUCAAAGAUUUUUUUUUUUUUUGAGCAAAGAUUAUAUUUAGUCAGACAACCAUGUGUUUGAUUACUUUAAAACAUGUGUUUAAUUGGUACUCGUGGCUCUUUAGUUGAGAGUAUGAUCGUAAACUAUGAAUACAAAAUGAUAAAGUAGUGGAAAUAUAUUUGGUGAUGAACACGUAAUAGCUCACUCUAUCGCAAAGCUUCUAUAAAUACCCGAACAUGUUAUUCUCUCUUGUAUCCAACUAAGUUACACUACAAGUCUACAAACUCAAUACACAUUGACUGGCAAGUCCACAGACUAUUUUUUUAAAAGGUUUCACACACGAAGAAUUCCAAAAUGGCUAGGGUCCAAGGUUUAGCUCUUCUUGGUUUAUUAGUGAUUUCAAGUUUGGUUAUGUUAACCGAGAGCCGAGUCGCAAGAAAAGACUUGGGGCUUGACCUAGGCGGGAUUGGGGUCGGUCUGGGCGUUGGAUUGGGGAUUGGUAUUGGCGGCGGUUCAGGCUCUGGUGCUGGUGCUGGUGCAGGUUCAGGAUCAGGUUCAUCAUCUAGUUCUAGCUCUAGCUCGUCAUCAAGUUCGAGUUCUAGUGGUUCGGGUCGAUCAGGAGCCGGAUCAUCUGCUGGUUCAUUUGCUGGAUCUAGAGCUGGAUCAGGAUCUGGUAACUAAAUAAUAAGUAACGAUGUAUUUCCUACUUAAAGUAUGAACCAAAAAGUGUGUGUUUAUGUUGUUGGUUUGUCGUGUGUAUAUACGAAGUUGGAUGAAUAAAAUGUCGUCAUAAGUUAUGUUUGUUUGAGUCUGUAUGUUUUUUUGGGUGCAAUUUGAGUCUGUAUGUUCCAUACAAGUCUAAAUUGUUAUAUAAUCUCUUUAAAUUUGGAUCAGUGCAUGUGCAAUCGUAAUUAGGUAAUUCGAAUUUGGAACCAAAGAAAACAAGCUUCAAACGAUAUCAAUAAAUCAAAUCAUAUGAUCACAAAUUAUAGUUCUUUUACUUCAAAUGGUUAAACUCUUAAAUUUCAAAGAAUCAGUGCAGUGGUCUGUCACUUAUGAAAGAGUUUCGUAUUUUGUUAAUCCUAAAUCUCUAAAUUGAAUAUUACUGUAUAUUUAAUCGAGUUAGUCCACCUACCUUAUGAUAGUACAUAAUAUUAACUUUAUUUUUUCCAUAAUUGUGUCUGUAUUAGACACUAUUAAUAGACAAAGUUGAUGUGUUCCUUGUAAUCCCAAGUAAAUAGAUAUGAGCGUCUGGAUAUACAUAGUUUUGAAUAUAGAUGAAUACGUUCAAUUUUGAUGAACCAUUCCGAAUAUAAUGAUCAAAAUUUUGACAGUAAAUCGCAACUGUAAUUAAAUCAUUUAUUUCUAUAUGUAUCAAAACUCAUACAAAACGUUGUAAUAUUGGCGUCUCCAGGUACAUCUUGUUCUAGAAACCUAAUACAUUGAUUAAAUUUUUAAAGGAUCCUAGUUUUUGCUAAUUAUUUUUAAUAUAGUUUCAAAUUUACGAAAAGUAAAUGAACCAAUGUAUAAGAUUUAAGCAUGUUACGUCGCUUCUAGACAAAGACUCUAAUAAUAGCUAACUAGUGCUGUGAAAAGUCCUAAAAACUUUGUCUACCAUAAUCGCUUACUCCAUUAUUUUAAAAAUAAAUAUAUAAUUUGAGAUUCUAGCAGGAUUUCGCAAAUCUUUUCUUUCUCGAAUUCAAUCUUAGUCUGGAUUCAAAGAAUCCUCACAAAAACUAUGAAUAGGCUUGAAGUAAGUGAUCUGUUUAAAAAAAUGUAGUAAGAGGUGGCCCCCCAUGCCUUCUCUUUUAUGGUGAAACCGUGACUUGUGGAAGCGGUAGUGCUAGAGAAACAUGGAAGCGGCACGCAGUUAUUAUUGCCAUUCUCUUAUCGCUUUCCCAAAACAGCCAAUGGUGAAUGCUAUGGUCAGCACGUCCUCUCUCUGCAUUAUCCUGUUUGAAAAAGUAGAGUUUUAUUCUCUCAAAUUAUAAAAACUUUGUUAUAUGAUUAUAACAUAUUUUCAUUGGUUCCAAAUUAUAGUAAAACUGAUAAAUGCACUCACACGUCUUUGUGCUAAAAUUUGACUCAGUGCGGGCCAGUGCCAGUCAGUCGGGUUAAUCAUAUAAAGAGCAGUAAUUAGUAGUUCUAAAUUUACUUUGCUAAUUGAGUAAUUACAAUAUCAAGAGAAAUUUUAUUAUGUUCUUUUGCUAUCUGGAAUCCGAAGCCACACUCCUCUGAAUGCAUUCACCAUUUACAUAUCACAAGAUUUACAACUUAUGGAGCUCUUUUUAGUGCUGAUCGUAUACGAAUUGGAUACGUUAUCAAAUUGUAACUAUAAUCGAUUAACUAAGUAUUUUUAAUAUGCGAAUAAGGCAUUAAAGAAAAACUAUACUUUUUUUUUGCACGGACCACGUCUUGCGAACCGGAAUUGAUAUAUUAGAAGAUUCUACUAAACAAACCAUACACAAUGACCUAAGCAUGUGGUCUUUUGAAGUUAUAAAGUAGUGGAAAUAUAUUUGGUGAUGAACACGUAAUAGCUCACUCUAUCGCAAAGCUUCUAUAAAUACCCGAACAUGUUAUUCUCUCUUGUAUCCAACUAAGUUACACUACAAGUCUACAAACUCAAUACACAUUGACUGGCAAGUCCACAGACUAUUUUUUUAAAAGGUUUCACACACGAAGAAUUCCAAAAUGGCUAGGGUCCAAGGUUUAGCUCUUCUUGGUUUAUUAGUGAUUUCAAGUUUGGUUAUGUUAACCGAGAGCCGAGUCGCAAGAAAAGACUUGGGGCUUGACCUAGGCGGGAUUGGGGUCGGUCUGGGCGUUGGAUUGGGGAUUGGUAUUGGCGGCGGUUCAGGCUCUGGUGCUGGUGCUGGUGCAGGUUCAGGAUCAGGUUCAUCAUCUAGUUCUAGCUCUAGCUCGUCAUCAAGUUCGAGUUCUAGUGGUUCGGGUCGAUCAGGAGCCGGAUCAUCUGCUGGUUCAUUUGCU
rnacentral:lncRNA from 1 species